AGGAGAGGAGGCAGUGUUCACUCAGGGAUCCCUACAAGGAACAUAAGAGAUUGAAUAGGCAGUUGAAACCUUCUUUGGUGCUGAGUAUGGAACAGGCUCCUUCACUGAACCUGAAGGUCAUGGAAAGCUUGUGAGACAAAGAACAGGCUGUGUGGCAUGCACUUCUCUCCUUCAACAGCCUCUAGCCAACUCCCAGUACCUACUGACUGAGAAGACCACCUCACUUUGUCCUAUGUUCCAGUCCAUUCGGAAGUACUGAACAACCUGGGAUUUUAAAAGCUCAUUACAUGAUUUCUUUGCAACAGGCUGCUUAGGAACACUGAUGAAUUUGAAUAUUUAAGUUUGCCACUCACCGUGCAAAGUGAUUUGGGCUGAUUAAGAAAGUUGAAUGCAGGAGCAAACAAGGAAAAUCCUGAUUAUAUAUCCAACACAACUAGAGGAGGAAAGCACCAAGAUGUGAGGUAAAGGGGGUAGAAGAGAUACCUUCCACCUUACAUGUGGGUGAAAAUUCAUUCAGUUUGCAUCUCAGUGGGUGCACCUUCUGAACAUGAACACAAACUGGAACCAUUGGAUAUACUUUUCUGAAACUGAAAUGUAGCCUAAAUAAAAUAAAAUAAUAAAAGCAUCAAUUCUUGCAUAUAUUUGAAUAACAAUGGAUGAAAAGUGUGUGUGUGUAGAAAAAAUUUAUAUUUCCACAAAUUGUACUUUUUGCAUAGUUUUCUAAAAGUACACUAAAAAUACCUACAUUGAAAAACAUUGUCUAGAAAUGACAAAUAACUGAAAAUAUGAAUAAAAUUGAUAUACUUUUGCAACUAGAGUAAUAAAAUUAAAAAUUUAUGCAGAACUCAGUCAGACAGAACUUACCAGAUGAAAAUUGAGAACCUUAAUGAAAACUGAACGUGAUUAACCAAUAUCUAUUGUGUAUAUCUUUGUAUGCAUAGAUAUGUAACAGCUUGUAAAAUAGUGUGCCUUUUGCACUAAGAAAAAAAGUGCAACUUUCCUAAUAUGAAUGUGAGUUUGGGCUAUAUUUUCAUGUUCAGCUAAUAACUCCUAUCAUGAAAAUAAAUAUGUGCCUUCCAAAGGCACAUAUUUUCUAGAAUAUAGGUAUAUACUGCAAAAUGGAGUGGUAGUAUCUGCUACAUAAAGAAACAUUGAUUUCUAGACAUAGACAGGUGGCCCAGAACAUUGUAUUGAUGUCAUUGGGGAAGCUGGCAUUAGUGAUAUGACCACUAAGAAGAACUAGGCAUACAUAAACAAUACAUAAUAUAAACUAGUGAAUUUAUUGUUGGUGGGCAGAG